rnacentral:rRNA from 1 species
GGUUAAGCGACUAAGCGUACACGGUGGAUGCCCUGGCAGUCAGAGGCGAUGAAGGGCGUGCUAAUCUGCGAUAAGCGCCGGUAAGGUGAUAUGAACCGUUAUAACCGGCGAUACCCGAAUGGGGAAACCCAGUGUGAUUCGUCACACUAUCAUUAACUGAAUCCAUAGGUUAAUGAGGCGAACCGGGGGAACUGAAACAUCUAAGUACCCCGAGGAAAAGAAAUCAACCGAGAUUCCCCCAGUAGCGGCGAGCGAACGGGGAGGAGCCCAGAGCCUGAAUCAGCAUGUGUGUUAGUGGAAGCGUCUGGAAAGGCGCGCGAUACAGGGUGACAGCCCCGUACACAAAAGCGCAUGUGCUGUGAGCUCGAUGAGUAGGGCGGGACACGUGGUAUCCUGUCUGAAUAUGGGGGGACCAUCCUCCAAGGCUAAAUACUCCUGACUGACCGAUAGUGAACCAGUACCGUGAGGGAAAGGCGAAAAGAACCCCGGCGAGGGGAGUGAAAAAGAACCUGAAACCGUGUACGUACAAGCAGUGGGAGCACAGGUUUACCUGUGUGACUGCGUACCUUUUGUAUAAUGGGUCAGCGACUUAUAUUCUGUAGCAAGGUUAACCGAAUAGGGGAGCCGGAGGGAAACCGAGUCUUAAUUGGGCGUUAAGUUGCAGGGUAUAGACCCGAAACCCGGUGAUCUAGCCAUGGGCAGGUUGAAGGUUGGGUAACACUAACUGGAGGACCGAACCGACUAAUGUUGAAAAAUUAGCGGAUGACCUGUGGCUGGGGGUGAAAGGCCAAUCAAACCGGGAGAUAGCUGGUUCUCCCCGAAAGCUAUUUAGGUAGCGCCUCGUGAAUUCAUCUCCGGGGGUAGAGCACUGUUUCGGCUAGGGGGCCAUCCCGGCUUACCAACCCGAUGCAAACUGCGAAUACCGGAGAAUGUUAUCACGGGAGACACACGGCGGGUGCUAACGUCCGUCGUGAAGAGGGAAACAACCCAGACCGCCAGCUAAGGUCCCAAAGUCAUGGUUAAGUGGGAAACGAUGUGGGAAGGCCCAGACAGCCAGGAUGUUGGCUUAGAAGCAGCCAUCAUUUAAAGAAAGCGUAAUAGCUCACUGGUCGAGUCGGCCUGCGCGGAAGAUGUAACGGGGCUAAACCAUGCACCGAAGCUGCGGCAGCGAACGUAUCACUUAAAGCGAUUCAGCGGAUGACGAUUGACGGAGCGAAGCGACGUCAAAGCGUAUACAAAGUCGAGUCGGUUUAAGGAUACGUUCGUUGGGUAGGGGAGCGUUCUGUAAGCCUGUGAAGGUGGCCUGUGAGGGUUGCUGGAGGUAUCAGAAGUGCGAAUGCUGACAUAAGUAACGAUAAAGCGGGUGAAAAGCCCGCUCGCCGGAAGACCAAGGGUUCCUGUCCAACGUUAAUCGGGGCAGGGUGAGUCGACCCCUAAGGCGAGGCCGAAAGGCGUAGUCGAUGGGAAACGGGUUAAUAUUCCCGUACUUGGUGUUACUGCGAAGGGGGGACGGAGAAGGCUAUGUUGGCCGGGCGACGGUUGUCCCGGUUUAAGCGUGUAGGCUGGUUUUCCAGGCAAAUCCGGAAAAUCAAGGCUGAGGCGUGAUGACGAGGCACUACGGUGCUGAAGCAACAAAUGCCCUGCUUCCAGGAAAAGCCUCUAAGCAUCAGGUAACAUCAAAUCGUACCCCAAACCGACACAGGUGGUCAGGUAGAGAAUACCAAGGCGCUUGAGAGAACUCGGGUGAAGGAACUAGGCAAAAUGGUGCCGUAACUUCGGGAGAAGGCACGCUGACACGUAGGUGAAGUGAUUUACUCAUGGAGCUGAAGUCAGUCGAAGAUACCAGCUGGCUGCAACUGUUUAUUAAAAACACAGCACUGUGCAAACACGAAAGUGGACGUAUACGGUGUGACGCCUGCCCGGUGCCGGAAGGUUAAUUGAUGGGGUCAGCGCAAGCGAAGCUCCUGAUCGAAGCCCCGGUAAACGGCGGCCGUAACUAUAACGGUCCUAAGGUAGCGAAAUUCCUUGUCGGGUAAGUUCCGACCUGCACGAAUGGCGUAAUGAUGGCCAGGCUGUCUCCACCCGAGACUCAGUGAAAUUGAACUCGCUGUGAAGAUGCAGUGUACCCGCGGCAAGACGGAAAGACCCCGUGAACCUUUACUAUAGCUUGACACUGAACAUUGAGCCUUGAUGUGUAGGAUAGGUGGGAGGCUUUGAAGUGUGGACGCCAGUCUGCAUGGAGCCGACCUUGAAAUACCACCCUUUAAUGUUUGAUGUUCUAACGUGGACCCGUAAUCCGGGUUGCGGACAGUGUCUGGUGGGUAGUUUGACUGGGGCGGUCUCCUCCUAAAGAGUAACGGAGGAGCACGAAGGUUGGCUAAUCCUGGUCGGACAUCAGGAGGUUAGUGCAAUGGCAUAAGCCAGCUUGACUGCGAGCGUGACGGCGCGAGCAGGUGCGAAAGCAGGUCAUAGUGAUCCGGUGGUUCUGAAUGGAAGGGCCAUCGCUCAACGGAUAAAAGGUACUCCGGGGAUAACAGGCUGAUACCGCCCAAGAGUUCAUAUCGACGGCGGUGUUUGGCACCUCGAUGUCGGCUCAUCACAUCCUGGGGCUGAAGUAGGUCCCAAGGGUAUGGCUGUUCGCCAUUUAAAGUGGUACGCGAGCUGGGUUUAGAACGUCGUGAGACAGUUCGGUCCCUAUCUGCCGUGGGCGCUGGAGAACUGAGGGGGGCUGCUCCUAGUACGAGAGGACCGGAGUGGACGCAUCACUGGUGUUCGGGUUGUCAUGCCAAUGGCACUGCCCGGUAGCUAAAUGCGGAAGAGAUAAGUGCUGAAAGCAUCUAAGCACGAAACUUGCCCCGAGAUGAGUUCUCCCUGAGACUUAGAGUCUCCUGAAGGAACGUUGAAGACGACGACGUUGAUAGGCCGGGUGUGUAAGCGCAGCGAUGCGUUGAGCUAACCGGUACUAAUGAACCGUGAGGCUUAACCUU